rnacentral:snoRNA from 1 species
GAGCUUGUGAUGAUUCAGGUCCGAAAGGAUCUUAGCGGAUUUCUGUGAGGCAAUUGUGUUAGAGUUAAUCGCUUAAUGCUGUGACACACUGAAGCUU